ensembl:antisense Gm15918 predicted gene 15918
ACGGCUACCCCCGGCUCAACCUAGCCCAGACUGUCCGAGGGGCCCGCGCGCGGCCGCAGCCCCCGCCCCCAGCCCGCAGUGCUCUUACCUCCACACCUGCCCCAUCUGCAGCAGGUGGAUGACCGACUGCCAGAUCCACACGGAGAGGCGGCACAGACGUUGCGCCCCCGGGGUGGCCGAGCCCCCCGCACCCGGGCCGCCGCGGGCCGCGCCGUGGCCGUAGCCGGCCCCCAUCAUUGGGGGUCCCCGGCUGCUGAGCCCCUCCACGGCGCCUAGCCCGCCGCCCGUGUAGUCCUGCACGAACCAGCGGAAGCUCAGGCUCUGCACCAGCAGCGACGGCACCAGCACGAAGAACAGGGUCAGCCCGAAGCAGCCGUAGUCCCCCUUGCGGUAGUAGUCGAGGGCCAGCCACAGUGGUACCAAAAGGCUCCUUCAUAAUCAGUUCUACACAAUGAGUUCUCCUGAAUCACACCCUAUGCCGUCUACCCACUGAUGCCAACCCCAAAGGACGUCAUAUCACAGCAGUAGUUAUAGGAAGGACCCUGUUACAUUGCAGUAACGGCACACAUCUAGGACACAUCGUGUAAAUCCUAGUAUGAGGAUGGGCCUCAGCACGACACCACUGAAGGGCUUUUGAGCCUCUGGAAACUUCUUAACUCUAAGUGUGCAUCAUCCUUAUGCUUCUAUUU